rnacentral:lncRNA from 12 species
AAAGAAAAAAGAGAGAUAUUCAGAAAGAUUAGUUUAUUCUCCCAUGUUCUGAGCUCAGUGAAAUCAAUGAGAGAGGGUGAGCUGCCAGGAGGGAGCUGGGCUGUUGCUAUUGCAAACACAUUGUCCUGGAGUGUUGUCAUCCCUGGAAUAAAGCACUGGAGCUUUAGAGCAAAGCCAAAACUUCCCUCAGAACUUCUGAUGUGAAGAACCUUUGUAUUGCCUGUAAAAAUGACACCCCUCCUUCUUCAGGGAAAGUCCAGGGGCUCUCCAAAGCAGGACCAGCUGGAAAUGUUUGAGGGGAAGGGAAGGGGAGGGAAAAGGGGAAAAGGGGAGAAGGGGAGAAGGGGAGGGAAGGGAAGGGAAGGGAAGGGAAGGGAAGUUUCAGGGAAGGGAAGGGAAGGGAAGUUUCAGGGAAGGGAAGGGAAGUUUCAGGGAAGGGAAGGGAAGUUUCAGGGAAGGGAAGGGAAGUUUCAGGGAAGGGAAGGGAAGUUUCAGGGAAGGGAAGGGAAGUUUCAGGGAAGGGAAGGGAAGUUUCAGGGAAGGGAAGGGAAGUUUCAGGGAAGGGAAGGGAAGUUUCAGGGAAGGGAAGGGAAGUUUCAGGGAAGGGAAGGGAAGUUUCAGGGAAGGGAAGGGAAGUUUCAGGGAAGGGAAGGGAAGUUUCAGGGAAGGGAAGGGAAGUUUCAGGGAAGGGAAGGGAAGUUUCAGGGAAGGGAAGGGAAGUUUCAGGGAAGGGAAGGGAAGUUUCAGGGAAGGGAAGGGAAGUUUCAGGGAAGGGAAGGGAAGUUUCAGGGAAGGGAAGGGAAGUUUCAGGGAAGGGAAGGGAAGUUUCAGGGAAGGGAAGGGAAGUUUCAGGGAAGGGAAGGGAAGUUUCAGGGAAGGGAAGGGAAGUUUCAGGGAAGGGAAGGGAAGUUUCAGGGAAGGGAAGGGAAGUUUCAGGGAAGGGAAGGGAAGUUUCAGGGAAGGGAAGGGAAGUUUCAGGGAAGGGAAGGGAAGUUUCAGGGAAGGGAAGGGAAGUUUCAGGGAAGGGAAGGGAAGUUUCAGGGAAGGGAAGGGAAGUUUCAGGGAAGGGAAGGGAAGUUUCAGGGAAGGGAAGGGAAGUUUCAGGGAAGGGAAGGGAAGUUUCAGGGAAGGGAAGGGAAGUUUCAGGGAAGGGAAGGGAAGUUUCAGGGAAGGGAAGGGAAGUUUCAGGGAAGGCUCUUCCUGCUGGCUUUGAGCCUACAAAACUUGGACUUUUGGAGCAUCAUCCUCUUGACUGUAACUUAACUGCUGGUGGUUUCUUAUUUUAUUUUCUCUCAUUUGUCAUCCUUUACAGAUCCAACAAGUUCAUCUAAGGGUGUGAGUGAGCUUUGCUGACCAGCAGGGGAGGAUCCCUGGGGAAGUGUCUCCCUCAUGGGUUUCCCACUGGUGUCACUGCACUGGCUAUAAACAGCUAGAGCAGCUUUUUAUAACCUUGCCAUGGUUAUUUUCAACUUCUUGCUUCUAUACAGGACCCAUACAUAAGCC